UCUGCCUCCACAGCCAUGAAAGAGAGAGAAGCAGUCUCACCAAAGGAGGUGGGGAAAGGCAGAGAGGCACACAAAGACUCUGUGAGGCAACAGUCACUCCCGGGGAGGACUGCCAAAGACAGAACAGCCUCGGAGGCGGACAAACUAAAGUGAGGCGCACAGCAGAUAACUACUCUGCAACAGAAAACCACCAAAAAGAAGAGAAGAGCAAAAAAUCAUAGAAGCAAAGAAGAAAAAGAUAAACAUGAAAGAAGAAGAGCAGUGAAAAGGAUUUGUUUUUUUUAAUCUAAUCUCACUGUUCCUCCACUCCACAUGCAGAGUUUCAUCACUGCCUGAGGAAUAACCCCUCUUAACCUUAAUCUCGACCUGGCUGCUUAUCUCCGUCUGCUCCUCUGGGUGACGUACGGCACAUUUCAACAACAAACUAACACUCUGACACAUAAAGCACUCAGCAGGUAACUCCUCCAGGGAGGACAUGUCAUGUUCAUCACUGUCUCCUCCUCGUCAACUGGUCUGCUUACUUCUGUUUUGUAGUUUUUGCCAGUCAGUCUGGUCUGGGCUGAGCGCGUGAAAACAACAGAGAUUCUCACGGCAGGAUGGAUGCCAGAGAGGAGACGCUGAACAUCCUGAACAGGAUAUGGGUCAAGCUGCAGGGUCUGCCCAGCGCCAGCCCUGUGGAGCUGGGCGCUUUCUUUGUCAUCUUAACCUUCAUCUUGGUGGUCGUGCUCAUGACAGUGCUGACAUGCAUCAACUGCUGUUGCUGCUGCUGCUGUCGCAAGGCCACGAAAAAGGGAUUGAACAUUUAACCAUGUGAGCUCCACACAAGGAAAACUAACAGAGACGGUGCAAAACAUCCCCGAAACACAACACAGGCUUUCUCUGCUGGUCUCUAAAGCAUAAUGAAUCCUUCUAAGAGUGAAUGAAAGCUCCUGCUGAGAGUCAUGGCCAUAUACUUCAUAGGCAUUCGAGACAUUUCAGUGACUAUUAAAGCCUUAUGCAGGGUGUGUUCAGCGGCAAUCGAGGAGCCCAACCCUUGAAAAACAAAACAACCUGACAGGAUGUCCUGACUGGCUGCCAAACACACCUGCUAUAGCUGCCACGUUUUCAGGACAAUCUACAUUCUUUGGAACAUCCCUGCGCUUUGCAGGACAACAACCACGCCUCUGACCUGAGGAGAAGGCAGAGCCGAACAAAACAACACAGGCAAAUACUUGGACUAUGAACUGCAAAAAUGUAUAGAAUCAUUAAAAUACUGCACCAAGUUGCACAAUGAGAUAAAAGAUAAUGAAAGGGAGAACCAAAUGAAUUUGUUAUUGUUUUCUACACCUAAUUAUUAUUAUAUUAUGUGUCGUUCUAUAGUUAGACAAGGUCCUCCUGAGGGAAAAGUUGUUGGCAAACCUCAGUGUUCUUUCACAGACUUCACAGCACAACAGAGAUCAAGUCUGCCCUCUGCUGUACAUAAUCUGAAAUGGACUAUGAUUUUAUUUUGAAAAGUACAGCAUGCAUGUAAUGGCAGUUAUAUUUCAUGUAUAAAACUGCAUAGAUGUAGAGUGGAGAGAUUAUGCUAUUCUUUGACUGUACACUUUUAUACUCAAUAAACAAAAUGCAUGUA